CUCAGCUGCAGUGUGCACGGCCCAAAGAAGUGACUGCCCAACACUCGCAACGUUUCAUAGUUCUCCUCUGCGCCUCGGUUGUGGCGUUUGAAAGGCCCAGGCUCGACUCUGAGCUUGCCAUCUUUCUGCCCAUAGAGUCCUGCUUCUGGGCCUGCUGACAGUCGGCUAUUGAAGGUGGGACCAGCAGAGGAACUGAAAGGCAGAAGCAGCCUUGGGACCAGUGAGAGCUCGGUUGGAGUGACAGCUCCUUCUGUUGAUGACUGAACCUCCAGUACUUCAGAUGGACCAACAGUCGGGGACAAUGACCCGCUUUUCUCAGGCAUAAGGUUUACGAAGGAAGAGGGAGGUGGAGAUGGACGGAGAGGACGUCUUGGAGCCAGUGAUCCACCUGCAGUAGCUUACGACUCUGACUGCACAGCAGGAGGAGACGGUGAAGGUUUGCCGACAUUGUUGGUGAAUAUGCCCCCAUUUGUGAUUUAAAGUCAUGCAUUUAUGCACAUCAGUGUGCAUCAGUUAGAGCUCUGUCUCUUCUGACCAGGUAACUUUCUUCCACUUUGUUUUUUCUUUGUGACAAAACGUCUCCCUCUCUUUAUGUCUCUUAUAAAGGCCAGACCUGAGAGAUUAAUCUUUUUCCUUCCACUUCAUAAUUAUGUUCUACUUUGUGUUGGUCUGUUUGUGAUUGUACCUUGACAAAAUGUGAAAAACUUACAUUUGUAACUGGAGAGCUCUGUCCUUCCCCUUCUCUUACAUUGAAGUUCACUUUUAAAAUCCUAUCCACCUCAUGCCCUUUAAACUUGAAUGUGACCUUCUUUUUUCCACCCUCUUUAUGCAUUUUUUUGGGGUAGAAAUCAGCUCCAAACUGGGUCUCCGUUCAGAAAGAAGUGGAAGAAGCUGGAAUAUUCGGUUACAGAUGCAUUUCCAUUCGAUUGUCCUAAAGGAGGGCGAGUAGAAGUAAGCGAUAUGAGUUGAGGGGAUCAUAUUAAUGUAACUAACACACACCAUAAUCCCACAGGACUUCCUUCCCAUUCCCAUUUGAAGACACACCCAGGAUGACAGGUAACACGAGAGCACCUUUCACAGGGUCAGAUUGGAAGAGGUGGGAAAAACAGGUGAGGUUACUCUCUGAUUAUAUUCUGCCGAAUAUCUCUGGUUUCUCUGAUUUGUUGGCGUCUUAUUUCAGUUAUUCUUUCUCUUUCACUUUAACACACACAAAUUAUUCCACGUGAAAGAUUCAUUUGGAAUGCAGGAAGUGCCUGAAACACGCCACAUAAGCCACUGUUUUUUUUUUUUUUUUUCCGAAUCAGUAUUUGCCCGAGUUUCUGGAGUCUCGGAGGGACAGAAAUAUGCUCUGAUGUAAUGCGCGAGAUAGGGAUCUUUUGUGGCUGGGUUAUGAAUCGCAGCAUAAUAUGAGCGAGUGCGCGGAGAGCCGCGUCGAAGCUGGGGCUGGCGUGGAGAGGAGGGGUGGGUGGAUCAAGCAGUGUCACAGGAAUCCACAGUGUUGUGAGAGCUCCAUACCUUUCAGCUUCAUUAAACCAAUUUCACGCCGAGGUGAGCUAAGAGAGGAAGCUCUGAAUCUCAGCGCCGGCAACAAUGGUGCAUUGAAGGGAUGAGGCGAAAGUAAAUUAGGUACCACUUCACAGACGGCAAAUUAAAAUCUGAAAGUUGGAUAGGAAAAGUUGAGGGUAGAUGAUUAUGUCUUUAUUGUGGUUUCUCUCCUCAAUCUAGAAAGCCCUCCUUUCCUUUUAGCGACCACCUUUGCCCCCACCCCACACACCCCACAACCCUCUGAGAAAAAAAUAAUGAUCUAUUUCUUGUCUGGUAAUUGGUUUCUAAGAUGCUCCCACUCAAAGCCUGGAUCUUAAAUACCAAGCUGCUCAUGACCCUCCUUUCAGCCACUUAAUUUGCUUUAGCUUAUCAGUAAGAUUUCAUAUCCUUGAAAAUCAUAUAAAUUAAACAUUAAUGUCAGGCUUAUUUCAGUGCGAUCAUUGACCUCCACUAUGCAUUGACCCACUUUAUCGGAUUUGGUGCUCAGUAUUUGUAAAGGCUUUAAUGCAAAACUGUGACCUAAUCAUAAUUGGCUGUAUGUUAUCGUAAAGUGUUUUUAUGAAUUUUUCAACUGGAUUUUGAGCAUUUGCGAAAAAGAGAAAAUGCUGAGUAAUUCAGGGCUCAAAGUAAUCGCACACAAAUGUUCCAGCAAGACAAUUUAAAGAGCGGGAAACAAAAGAAAUAGUAAUUACAGUUUCCUUUCCAAACUGUUAUCGCUGCUUUAUUUUAUUCACCUAAUUUGUCUAGUUAGGUCUGGGCUUUGAAAAGCAUUUAUUUGAUCUCCACAAACUCUUGGCUGAAACAUAUUCCAGGCAAAUUUAAAUUUGGGGUACUGCCACAGCUGGUAGCAUUAUUGUGUUGUAGCAAAAAGCUAUUUGAAUCCAGUUCUGGAGGCUUUUUGAUUGGAGUUAGCAUGCUCUCCCUGUGCAUGUGUGGGUUCUCACCUGGUACUCCAGCUUCCUGCCACAGUCCAGACAUGACUGCUAUGCUAAUUCGUUACUGUACUGUUAAUCUUAGGUGUGUCUUCAUGUUUAUGGUUGAUUGUCCUGUGUGUCUCGAGGAUAAGCAGCAUGAUAAUUUUGGGUUAAAAAGAUGUAAUUUCUGAUAGCACAGAGACCUUUGGUUGUAUACAUCUUAGCCGUAAUCUUACACUGGCACUCAAACAAGGAAAGGCACGUAUCCUAGCAUAAUUUAAAGAUGGUUGAGGCCACAACUUGAACACCAGAUAUGGAAAAUGUGCAAAAUUCCUGUGUUGAACAUAAGAUUCAUGUGUUGGGAAAUGCCAAAUAUGGUGAUGCAUGUGUUUUGCCCAAAGAUAAAAAGGAAUUCUUCUUAUCUUUGGGCUUAUAUUUUAUUUCCAAUAUGAAAUAAAAUUCUUUGUUGUUGGAUGUACUGAGAUUGGGGUUGGAAGGUAAUAAGAGAAAAGACGUCCAAAGAAAGAUGUCUUCUGUUGUCUACAUGGUUGAAAGGUUCUUUGAUUGGUCAAUCCGAUGGACCAAGCCUGACUAUCAUGUCUUCUCUAGCCUAAGUUAUAACAGGAGCUAUAGGUCCAAAAACUGAAACAUUUUCAACAUAUUUUUCUGAGAUAACUCGAGACAAGAAAAAGCAGGAAGGAUUAUUAAAAAAACUUAUUAACUACUGAAACGUAUUUCAGCAAUCAGUCUUUAAAAGAUCCUAAUUUGAGUCGAUCCAUCGUUACCUACUGGUACGGUUUGAAUCUUGGAAACAUGCAGCAGCAGGCGGCUCCAUGAGUAGCCCUGCUGCUCAACUACUCCUCCAGUAGUAAAGCUAGUAAAUGUUAAUAAAUCCUGACAAUUCAAACAUAAACUAGCCUGAACCUUUAACCACCUACCCUGCUGAGUCCAGCUGAUCAUCAUAUAAAAUAAACAUAAUUACUAGACACAGAAAUUCAGCAGGGCUGCUGCUGACUUUACAGUAUCUGCUACAGAUGCAUAAAAUCAAGCAUAAAUUUUACUUUGCAGUUUUUAAAUGAUUUAUCAGUCUCAUUUGUCUCAAAGUAUACACAGCAGAGGUUAUUUUUAAGAGCCACUUUAAUGAUUCUCUUCAUUUUUUUCUCUCUGCACAAAACAUAAACCGAAGUUGAACAUCACUUGACUUUUUAAAAUGCUGUAGUGCUUGAAGAGUAGCACAACUUAUUCCUGUCUUUUGUGUGUAAUCACUGAAAAAAAAGAAAAACAAAUCAGCAGAAAUAUCAGAACAAUAUUUAUGCUUGAGUAUAAGUUUGCCUGAAUGUUAAACAUUCAUCUGUCUGUGUUUGCUAUAAUUAUGAGCAGAAAUUAAAUAUCAAGUCAUCAUGCUAAUCCAGAAGGAGACAGGUUCUGUGUACCAAAGACUUCAGGUGCAGAGAAACUGGUGCAUGCUUUCAUUUUCAGUAGGUUGGAUUAUUGUAGCAAUUUCCUCACUUGUCUCAUCCAAAACUGAGCUGCUAGAGUUCUGAACGGUUUACUUUGUAUUUUGAACCAGGAAGUAUGGAGGAAAAGCAAAAUAGGAAGCUAAGCAGGAACGUUAAACCAACUUAGACAAACAUUGGAUAGUAAUGUAAUGCAAACAGAAACAUUACUACAGAAGCCAAAUCUCAACAAGUUGAUCAGGCUUCCUGUUAACUUUCUCAGAGUCUUGGCUUACAACUUCAGGGGGGAGGAGCGGUCAUGGAGUGCAGGUCAACCAAUCAGAGUCUAGAGAAUGUGCAAGUUAUGCCACGUCACGCACAGCUUAAGAAAAGUAUUUAUUUUUUUUAUCACAUCCUUCAGUGAAGAAAGAACUGAGCAUGUAAAUAAACUCAUUAAAGAUAUCAGAUGGUAAAUUUGUGUAAAUUACAAAUUUAGCAUAAUUUGUCAAGUUAUGAGUUAUAUUCAGAAGAUUUAGAAUAGUAUUGGCUAAAGACAAGAGAUUGUUAUGACUAAAACAAACAUUCAAGGAUACUUUAAAUAUAGUUGGGGAAGUGGUUAAAAAAUAUAAAAACAUCAGAUUCUUUGUAAAUUUUUAUAUUGUUUCUGAAUUAUCUGUCAACAAAAUGCUGAUAUGCAUAAAUAACCUAUUUUAGAUCAAUUGGGGCAGUUUGAAAAAAAAUCAUCAUGUUGUUCAGAAUACUAAUUUCCUCAAUUGCCCCAACGAGACUCGGUCAGAUUAUAAAUACCUUAAGGAAGUAUUAAACAUGCUUUAAUCCCACAUUUCUGUUUUUAAAAUUACUUUCAUCAUUUGUACAUGACGUAAUAUUCUAAUUGUAAAUGUUAUGUUUUUAUUACCUGUAAUUUGAAAAUAAUCGUAAUCACAGAAAUAAAGACUUUCCAACAUCCAUCUUUGUGUAAUUGAUCUAUAUAAUGUGCUUUGCUGAGUGAUACAGUUUUUAAUGUGUAAUUUAUUGUUGCAUUUCAGCUAAAAUAUCAAUCAAUCAAGUUUUUUGUAUAGCAUUUUUCUGCAAUAAGUUCUUUACAUCAUAAAAACACCCCAAAGAUGCUUGAAUCAACAAUUCAAGCAUUACAUUUUUUCCAAGUGGCAUUACACAUCAAAAUUCUGGUCAGUGUUUAAUUUAUUCUAGUACUAAAGUAACUCUAAACAGGUGAGUUUUAGUUUAGAUUUAAAGGAAAUCAGUGUUUUGUCUGGUUUACAAUAGGAACAAACUUACAAACCAGGAAGUUUGUUCCCGAUUUGUGGUGCAUAGAAGCUGAACGCUGCUUCUACUCACCUGCUGGGAAGUAUCUUAAACGUCUAUUCAUUCCAUUUUUUAAAAUCAGUUAUGUACAUUUUUAACCUGCAUUUGUCCAAAUGUCAAAGUGUAAAUCUGUGUUUCUGCAUUUUUUUGUAAUAUUUCUUCAGUUCUUCAUAGGAAGUGAACUGGUGGGGUCACUCUGGGAGCCACGCAGGCCCCACACAAUGCCAUGGCAGCAGCAUGGCUUUCACUGGGCCUCGCGCUGCUGCCUUUACGAGAGCCAGACAGACGGAUCCCCUUCACGCCGCAAAGCCAUCAACAAGGGGAACAAAGAGGGCAGGUGCUGAGGACUGCAUUGAGUGCUCACCUGCACCCAGCAGGGGAAUAUAGUGCGUCCAGCCAUGCCAAGAGGCCCUCCACAUUCACAUCCCCACUCACCAGGCACUAAUGGGCUAAGAUGGCAAGCCAAAGAGAAAUUAUUUCUCUUUAUUAUAGACUGAAGCAAAUCAUUGGCUGAUGGUGUUGAAUAUGACAGUACAUGUACCGUACGCACUGUUCAGUUCAAACAAACUUGGCUUCUGCAAUAUCUAAAUCAGGCUGUGACAGAAUGCUACUCACUGGGUAUCAACGUUUAAUCGGUAACAGAAGUGAGGAUGAGGGAGCCGACUCUUCAGAUUUUUAUGCACUGAAUUGAAUUUUAAAUAGAAAGAUUUGUUACUGGCUUGCUGAAGUCCUUACACCCCUGCAGUAUUUUACAUUUGAUCGCAUUGCGACCUCAAAGAAUAUAUUUGAUUGGAAUCUUGUGUUCAGGCCAAAACAAGGAAGCAGAAAGUUGCAAAGUGGAAGGAAAAUAUUUUUUCUAUUGCAUACGUUUAUUUCAAAGACUGCAUUCUGUUUGUUGUGUAUUGAUUUUAAUUUGUAUUUUAUAGUGUUACUCUCUAGUCUUUUUUUCAGUGGCUCUUCUUGUGUCCUGUGUUUCCAUUAAACAAAUAAAUGUGAAAUUAUCUUAAUGGAAAUAUGUCAAUUUAGAAAAAACGUAUUAUUUUCAAUAGAAAGUAUUUGUACUAGGAGGAGAUGGUUUCUCAACCGUAUCAAAAUAAAAAUGUUUUGCAAAACUGCAAUGGAAAAAUUUCACAUCACAGGAGUCACAUGAUCAACAGCCGG